GAUGAACGCUGGCGGCGUGCCUAAUACAUGCAAGUCGAGCGAACAGACGGGGAGCUUGCUCCUCUGACGUUAGCGGCGGACGGGUGAGUAACACGUGGAUAACCUACCUAUAAGACUGGGAUAACUUCGGGAAACCGGAGCUAAUACCGGAUAAUAUAUUGAACCGCAUGGUUCAAUAGUGAAAGACGGUUUUGCUGUCACUUAUAGAUGGAUCCGCGCCGCAUUAGCUAGUUGGUAAGGUAACGGCUUACCAAGGCAACGAUGCGUAGCCGACCUGAGAGGGUGAUCGGCCACACUGGAACUGAGACACGGUCCAGACUCCUACGGGAGGCAGCAGUAGGGAAUCUUCCGCAAUGGGCGAAAGCCUGACGGAGCAACGCCGCGUGAGUGAUGAAGGUCUUUGGAUCGUAAAACUCUGUUAUUAGGGAAGAACAAAUGUGUAAGUAACUAUGCACGUCUUGACGGUACCUAAUCAGAAAGCCACGGCUAACUACGUG
rnacentral:rRNA from 1 species